UCUGGUGGCAAUAGCAAAGAGGUCACACCUGUUCCCAUGCCGAACACAGAAGUUAAGCUCUUUAGCGCCGAUGGUAGUCGGACUAACGUUCCGCUAGAGUAGGACGUUGCCAGGC
rnacentral:rRNA from 12 species